AGUCUCUUUUGGAGAGCUGUGAACGUGACCAGACCUAUUAAUUACUUAACUGAGGUGCUGAACUUUGAAAAUGAAAGUUCCGGUGGGGAGUUCUGUCCUUUCCAGCCUGGGGAGCUCUGUCAGGGCUCUCCUGAGCGUCUCUUUCAGCUUAUCAAGCUCGCUCGGGGACCGUCUCUGCCGCCAUGUAGGAAGUGCCUUUAGCCUUCUGCCAUGAUUGUGAGGCCUCCCCAGCCAUGUGCAACUACUGGGAAAGUGAGGUGCAGAGGUAUUUUGCAACGUGCCCACAGAACCCCAGCGAGCCCGUGUUGGAGUUACAACUGUGCCUCAGGGAGCAUUCUCAGGCAGCAUUCUCUUAUGCUUCACCGUCUCACAGAUGAUAAGGUUUCAUUCAAGGACUUACAACAGCAACCCGGAGGGAGCAUUCUCAGUGGCUGGUAGAUGCCAUUUGUACUGAGCAGGACAAUUAAGCCCAAUUCUGGAAAAAUUCUGCUUUCUCUAUUCAAUGCAUUUUAUAAAUGUCUUCACUCAGCACAUUUACCCUACUAAUUAUAUUUUGCUUUGUGAUCAUGG
rnacentral:lncRNA from 1 species